UACGGUAUUGCAAUGAGAACAAUUUAAAACCCUUAGCGAGAAUCAAGUGGAGGACAAGUCUGGUGCCAGCACCCGCGGUAAUUCCAGCUCCACUAGCGUAUAUUAAAGUUGUUGCAGUUAAAAAGCUCGUAGUUGAACCUCUGUCUGGGGCUAGUUUUGGCUUUGGUCAGGCUAGUUCUAGGCAUCCGCCUACAAGACUUAGAGGGCAUUCAGUUGUUCACUAGGAGGAGUAGGCAUUUUACUUUGAAAAAAUUAGAGUGUUUAAGGCAGGCAAUCGCCCGCAUAUAUUAGCAUGGAAUAAUAGAAUAGGACACUUUUCCAUUUCGUUGGUUAUUGGAAUCGUGUAAUGAUUAAUAGGGACAGUUGUGGGCAUUUGUAUUUAAUUGUCAGAGGUGAAAUUCUUGGAUUUAUUAAAGACAAACUAACGCGAAAGCAUUUGCCAAGGAUGUUUUCAUUAAUCAAGAACGAAAGUUAGGGGAUCAAAGACGAUCAGAUACCGUCCUAGUCUUAACUAUAAACUAUUCCGACUCAAUGUUUGACUGGCUUAUAUAACCAGUUGAGCGUUGUAUGAGAAAUCAAAGUCUUUAGGUUCUGGGGGGAGUAUGGUUGCAAAGCUGAAACUUAAAGGAAUUGACGGAAGAGCACAACCAGGAGUGGAUUCUGCGGCUUAAUUUGACUCAACACGGGGAAACUUACCAGGUUAAAACAAUAGUGGGAUUGACAGUUUGAGAGCGCUUUCUUGAUUGGUUGGGUGGUGGUGCAUGGCCGUUCUUAGUUGGUGGAGUGAUUUGUCUGCUUAAUUGCGUUAACGAACGAGACCUUAACCUGCUUACUAGACUGGCGAUCAUCAAUCGUUAGCUCUUCUUAGAGGGAUUUUGGUUGUUUUAACUCCAAGGAAGUUUGAGGCAAUAACAGGUCUGUGAUGCCCUUAGAUAUCCUGGGCCGCACGCGUCAUACAAUGACUAGUUCAGAAAGUUUUCUCCUGACCCGAAAGGGGAUGGGUAAUCUUGAUAAUACUAGUCGUGUUAGGGAUCGAUCUUUGCAAUUAUAGAUCUUGAACGAGGAAUUCCUAGUAAGUGCGGUUCAUCAGACCGUACUGAUUACGUCCCUGCUCUUUGUACACACCGCCUGUCGCUUCUACCGAGUGGGUGGUCCGGUGAGAUAAUUGAACUUCGCAGGUAACUGAGAGGAAAGAUUAUCAAACCUAUCCACCU
rnacentral:rRNA from 1 species